UAUAUGACCUACCCUUGUAAAGACUUUACAACAUAUUAUAAUAUAGAAUCAAAAGUUCAUCAUUUUUAAUAUUAUACUUAUGAAUUUUUAAGGUUUAAAAUUAGCUAAUAAUCAUAUUUUUAGCUUUCAAAAUUUGUUAUUAUAUAUGGGAUCAAAUUAACAUUUGUUAGCUCAGUGGUUAAGAACAAUAUUUAAAUUGGAGAGAUCUCUUGUUCCAUUCGACCAUCCUCUUCUGCUAAAUAUAUCUUUUGAGGUUUAAUUUGAAAUUUCUCAAAAGGAAAUGCAUAAUUUUUAUAUAAACUAUGUUGUCUUGUUCCAUUUUUUUCUUCUUUUAGUUCAUUAUGUUUUAUAUAUAACUAGAAUUUACAUAUAUAAUUAAGGACUUUAGGUUGAUUUAAUAUAUUUGACUAAACUUGUGAAAAGCUAGAUGACUUGGAGAUAAUAUUAGGUUGUAUAAAGUCUUAAUUAUAAUCAUACAUACACAAAUACUACAAUCUUAAUUGCAUAUAAAUGUAUAUAAUAAUUAGGUUAAAUUGUAUAAUACAUCUAAAAAUCAUAAAAAAAAUAAAUGUAUAAAAUUGUUUUUUGCUUCAGUUCUUUAGUUCAGUACAAGUCUUGCAUGGUUGGUAUGGUUUUCGGUUUGGGAAUGAUGAUGAAUUAGAACCAUACCAAAAUAGUAAAAUAAGUUCAAUAUGAUUUGGUUUCUACUAUAAUAAUUCUUGUUCAGUUCAGUUUGGAAGAACCAGGAACCGUGUACGUCCAUAAUAUCUUUUUUGAAUGGUGUUGAACAAUUUUUAAUUAGUAGUUCUCCUUUGAGAGAGCUUCAGUGUUAUUAAAGGUGCUCUGAGGCGUCGGGCGAGGAGCUAGGCGCGAGGUGAGGCGAGGCGAGGUGACGCUCUAGAGCCUUGCCUGGCUCCGCCUAGCCUGGGUUGCAUGAGGCGACCGCUUGGGAGAGAGAGGCGCAGGGCGU
rnacentral:misc_RNA from 1 species